CCUACGGGUGGCAGCAGUCGAGAAUCAUUCACAAUGGGGGAAACCCUGAUGGUGCGACGCCGCGUGGGGGAAUGAAGGUCUUCGGAUUGUAAACCCCUGUCAUGUGGGAGCAAAUUAAAAAGAUAGUACCACACGAGGAAGAGACGGCUAACUCUGUGCCAGCAGCCGCGGUAAUACAGAGGUAUCAAGCGUUGUUCGGAAUCACUGGGCGUAAAGCGUGCGUAGGCUGUUUCGUAAGUCGUGUGUGAAAGGCGCGGGCUCAACCCGCGGACGGCACAUGAUACUGCGAGACUAGAGUAAUGGAGGGGGAACCGGAAUUCUCGGUGUAGCAGUGAAAUGCGUAGAUAUCGAGAGGAACACUCGUGGCGAAGGCGGGUUCCUGGACAUUAACUGACGCUGAGGCACGAAGGCCAGGGGAGCGAAAGGGAUUAGAUACCCCAGUAGUC
rnacentral:rRNA from 1 species